GACGAACGCUGGCGGCGUGCUUAACACAUGCAAGUCGAACGGAAAGGCCCUGCUUUUGUGGGGUGCUCGAGUGGCGAACGGGUGAGUAACACGUGAGUAACCUGCCCUUGACUUUGGGAUAACUUCAGGAAACUGGGGCUAAUACCGGAUAGGAGCUCCUGCUGCAUGGGGGGGGUUGGAAAGUUUCGGCGGUGGGGGAUGGACUCGCGGCUUAUCAGCUUGUUGGUGGGGUAGUGGCUUACCAAGGCUUUGACGGGUAGCCGGCCUGAGAGGGUGACCGGCCACAUUGGGCCUGAGAUACGGCCCAGACUCCUACGGGAGGCAGCAGUGGGGAAUAUUGCACAAUGGGCGGAAGCCUGAUGCAGCAACGCCGCGUGCGGGAUGACGGCCUUCGGGUUGUAAACCGCUUUCGCCUGUGACGAAGCGUGAGUGACGGUAAUGGGUAAAGAAGCACCGGCUAACUACGUG
rnacentral:rRNA from 1 species